rnacentral:rRNA from 1 species
UAGGGAAUCUUCGGCAAUGGGGGCAACCCUGACCGAGCAACGCCGCGUGAGUGAAGAAGGUUUUCGGAUCGUAAAGCUCUGUUGUAAGUCAAGAACGGGUGUGAGAGUGGAAAGUUCACACUGUGACGGUAGCUUACCAGAAAGGGACGGCUAACUACGUGCCAGCAGCCGCGGUAAUACGUAGGUCCCGAGCGUUGUCCGGAUUUAUUGGGCGUAAAGCGAGCGCAGGCGGUUUGAUAAGUCUGAAGUUAAAGGCUGUGGCUCAACCAUAGUUCGCUUUGGAAACUGUCAAACUUGAGUGCAGAAGGGGAGAGUGGAAUUCCAUGUGUAGCGGUGAAAUGCGUAGAUAUAUGGAGGAACACCGGUGGCGAAAGCGGCUCUCUGGUCUGUAACUGACGCUGAGGCUCGAAAGCGUGGGGAGCGAACAGGAUUAGAUAC